GGGAGUAUAGCUCAGCUGGGAGAGCGUCUGCUUGACGUGCAGGAGGUCAGGGGUUCGAGCCCCCUUGCGCCCA
rnacentral:tRNA from 1 species